CCCCGUAAAGGCGCAAUUAAAGUAAAGGCGGCCUUGUGUUGCCUAGGCGGGAUCUUUUUCGUCGAGCGCACCGCCGGCCCGUCCAACGACCGCUUUGCCGGCCGGGCGGAGCUAGAGCAUACACGUUGGUACCCGAAAGAUGGUGAACUAUGCCUGGGCAGGACGAAGCCAGAGGAAACUCUGGUGGAAGUCCGCAGCGAUUCUGACGUGCAAAUCGAUCGUCGGACCUGGGUAUAGGGGCGAAAGACUAAUCGAACCAUCUAGUAGCUGGUUCCCUCCGAAGUUUCCCUCAGGAUAGCUGUCGCUCAUAUGCAGUCUCAUCCGGUAAAGCGAAUGAUUAGAGGCCUUGGGGUCGAAACGACCUCAACCUAUUCUCAAACUUUCAAUGGGUGAGAAGCCCGGUUUGCUCAAUUUGUGAAAUCCGGCACACCCGAGAAUGCGAGUGACCAGUGGGCCACUUUUGGUAAGCAGAACUGGCGCUGUGGGAUGAACCAAACGCCGGGUUAAGGCGCCCGAUGCGGACGCUUAUCAGAGCCC
rnacentral:rRNA from 1 species